GACGAACGCUGGCGGCGUGCUUAACACAUGCAAGUCGAACGGUAAGGCCCUUCGGGGUACACGAGUGGCGAACGGGUGAGUAACACGUGGGUGAUCUGCCCUGCACUUCGGGAUAAGCCUGGGAAACUGGGUCUAAUACCGGAUAGGACCACUGCCUGCAUGGGUGGUGGUGGCAAGCUUUUGCGGUGUGGGAUGGGCCCGCGGCCUAUCAGCUUGUGGGUGGGGGGAUGGCCGACCAAGGCGACGACGGGUAGCCGGCCUGAGAGGGUGACCGGCCGCACUGGGACUGAGAUACGGCCCAGACUCCUACGGGAGGCAGCAGUGGGGAAUAUUGCACAAUGGGCGCAAGCCUGAUGCAGCGACGCCGCGUGAGGGAUGACGGCCUUCGGGUUGUAAACCUCUUUCAGCACCGACGAAGCGCAAGUGACGGUAGGUGCAGAAGAAGGACCGGCCAACUACGUGCCAGCAGCCGCCGUAA
rnacentral:rRNA from 1 species